GCCUCAGUAACGGCGAGUGAAGCGGCAAAAGCUCAAAUUUGAAAUCCUUCGGGAAUUGUAUUUUGAAGGUGGGUUUGGUUAGGAAAAGAUACUUUAAGUCCAUUGGAAAAUGGCGCCAUGGAGGGUGAUAGCCCCGUAAAAGUACCCCCUUUUCCUUUUAUCCAUUCCCUCCAAAGAGUCGAGUUGUUUGGGAAUGCAGCUCUAAGUGGGUGGUAAAUUCCAUCUAAAGCUAAAUAUUGGCGAGAGACCGAUAGCGAACAAGUACAGUGAUGGAAAGAUGAAAAGCACUUUGAAAAGAGAGUGAAAAAGUACGUGAAAUUGUUGAAAGGGAAGGGCUUGCAAGCA
rnacentral:rRNA from 1 species